rnacentral:rRNA from 1 species
UACGGGGGGGGCAAGCGUUGUUCGGAAUUACUGGGCGUAAAGCGUGCGCAGGCGGUUCGCCAAGUCAGGUGUGAAAUCCCCGGGCUUAACCUGGGAAUUGCGCUUGAAACUAGCGGGCUUGAGUGUGGCAGAGGGGGGUGGAAUUCCACGUGUAGCAGUGAAAUGCGUAGAGAUGUGGAGGAACACCGAUGGCGAAGGCAGCCCCCUGGGUCAACACUGACGCUCAUGCACGAAAGCGUGGGGAGCAAACAGG